UUACUUUGUGUAGAUUUAUUUGAAAGAGAUUCAAAUGAAAAUCAAUACUCAUUACAACAAAGCGUUGCAAAAAAUUAUUACAUUUUAGCUUUGAUAGAAAAACAAUUACAGCCUCUUGUUUCAUUUUGUUCAAAUGCUUUAUUUUUGUCUGAGUCAGUCAGCAAAUCUGAUUAAGUAAGUGCAACACAUUGCCACGGAUACAAAACAACUUCUCCUCCUUGAACUCCGUGCUCCCUGCAGGGUGACGACGCUGACCAGGCCAUCACUCUCAGACCUCCGUCCUGCCAACUCCAGCCAGGGAGGGUCUGCAGGACACCGUGUCUCCAUGCUGGAGUCACUGAAAGCUGGCUUGGUGGGAGCAGAUUGCUGCCUAAUUGUGCUUUUCAGAGCCGCUGUGCACUGGAGGGGGAGGGGGGGGGGAGGUUACCGCAGGGAGGCCUGCGGACCGGGGCCACAGCGGUGGACGCUGCACCGGUGGAAUCCAACCCAACAGGGUCUCAUUGAUCUGCUGAAGCAGAGGUCACGACAGUCCUGAAUCUGUAGGCUGACUGGCGGCAGCAGCAGCAGCAGCAGCAGAAUCACUUUCUCGCGGUCAACUUUUGGGGAUCUUUUCCAGCUCGUGUGAAAAGCAUUCUGCAGAUCCCACCCCCCACCCCUCAUCCACCAUUAUAAAUCCUGAGACUGGAUGAUCCAUCUCUCCCUCUCUUUUUCUCCCUCUCCACAUCCCCCCCCCCUCACACCCCUCCAGCACUCCACCAGCCAACCCCUGCUAUUUUCACCCCACACACAUCCGUCGCUGCACUUAUCCAGCCUCAGACGGCUGCUGGCUCGAUAGCUAAACAGAUUAUCUAACAACAGAGUACCUUUCCUUCUCUCUCUCUCUCUCUCUCUCUCUCUCUCUCCCUCCAUGUAGUCCUCUGGCCGUGGGUCCUCGGAGGCGAAAGGGGCCCUAUUGAGCGGGGCCCAGGCUCUCCACUAGCCAGGCUCUUUAUUGAGGCGUCGAUGUGGCUUUAUGCUGCCAGCGCUCGGUCUUGCCCUCGCCGUCAUCAAUCAUCCUCGGCUCCAGGGCUGCUAUCACUGCCCAGACAGCCGGCCAAUCGCAGCCAGGAAGCUCUAUAGGAGAUGGGGAGAGAGGGAGAGAGGGAGAGAGAGAAGCAGAGGGGAGAGAAGAAAUGGAGAAUCACUCUGUUUCUGUUGCUGCCAGUCUCGAGUCUGAUUUGAUUGACAGCUUCUGUACCUUGUGGGUGCAAAAACACUGGUAUGAAACAAGAUUAGAUCAUGAAGUGAGAGUCUGAGUCAUGAAAGCACAUAUAACCAAGUUAAAAUCAUCAUCAUAGAAAGCAUUUGGCAGCAAUAACAGAGCCUUUUAUGGAAGAUCUAUAGUAAUCCUAUAAGUUUGAAUUCUAGAUGAGGGCUUCAGUAGAGAAAUAUUGCAGCAAAACUAUGAUUCCCCUAAGAAAUAAAGCUGACGACUAAACCUGAUACGGUCAGUGAAAACUCACUAAUGACUUUCACAGUCACAGUAGACGUUUCUAUAAGAAUUAAGCUUUAUUUAAAAAAACAAAGGUGAGAAUUUUUCACUUUUCUCUUUUUCAUCAAUCCUCUACAGUAGGUCGAAUUUCUACUCAAGUCUUAACUUGAUUUUUCUUUUUCCCCCCCUGUUGCCCCCAUCUCUCUCUGCAGCCCUGAGCUCUCAUCCUGCUCCAGGAGGAAUAGGCACAAUCUGAUUACAGACCUAUUUUACAGCAGACGCCAGGGCGCAAUAAAGGGAGAGAGAGCACGGAAACGGGACUCGGCCCAUCAAUUAGAUCUCUAUUAGCAGCCAAUGCAGACCUCACCUCAGGAAACGCCGGGGCCCCGAAAUUAAGCAAUUCUUCAAGCUCGACAAGCCAGUCGACUAUAUAUAUGUUUGAGAGAGGAGGAAAGGGAGGACGGUGUCCUCACCAGAGCCUCCAUCCAGCAAAACCUCUUAUAAAACCUUGAAGAAUAAACAAUAUAGAUCCAAAGGAUUUGGCUCAAAAGAAACAGAGAGAACCAUGCUGAAGAUCUAGAUCAAGGUGGGUUCUGAGUUCCAAAUAUAGUCUUAUAUAGUCAUUAUUUGUGGUACACUGUCAUUGUACAUUAUAUUUACUUUCACAGUAAGUCACACUCAAAUUCUUUGAGUGAAUUAUUCUGAAAUAACAGCUGCACACCUUGAUCUCAAUAUGCGUGUAUAUGAUUUAGCAUCUUUUGAAGUAAAUGCAAGAUUUGCGAUCAGAUUAGGAUUUUUCCGUAUUCCGCUGUAUAAUUACAGUGUAACCUUUAUUCAAAUAAAUAAAGUACAAAGUAUUUCCUUUGACUGACUGACCAAACCUCAGAUAUCUCAGAGCGUGACAUGAUAAUGAUAUUAUAAUCAUAUCACAGUGGCUUUUCUUCUUAGUCCCUCCUGUAACCUCCUUCCGGUUCCAUUAAUCUCCAACUGUUGACCUGCUGACCUGAGGCGGGACAAAAUGUCAAUAUUGGAUAAUUAGCUGCAAAAUGAAGGCCAUUUAGAGAGGACACCUUGAGAGGCGGCAGGGCCCUUAAUUCAUAAUUUCCUUUUCAGAAAAUUAAAAUUUUUAAUUUGAAGGUUUUCUAAUUUCAUUCAAUCGACAGCUGCUGUGAAAUGCCAUAAUUGGGUUUGUCAAAGGGAUGUGGGCUUUCCAUGUUAACAGGGAUGCAGGGGUGCAGGGAUGCAGCUUCAGAUUCUCCUGUGUUUUCUUCUUUAUCUGGUUCCUGUAUUAUUGCACUUUUCUUAUUAUACAGAAGCUUACUGUUAGAUUCCCUGCACAAUGCAGACAAAACACAAUAUUCUGCUCCCAAGCAAUAAGCAUGUCAGGUCGACUUAAGGUUCAUCUUGAUUCGGCUUUUACAGCCCUAAUGUCCCCGCUCAAUUAAUUUCUGGCAUGAUCUGACGCAAGUCCUUCCUUAACAAUCCCGGUUCUGUGGCAUGCAUUUCUCUAUUUGCUCAAUCAAAGGAUGGCCAUUUAUCAUCGAGAGGGACAGCUCCGUAUUUGCUACCUUGCCCGCUCGGUUCCAGCACCAAAUUCAGCAUUUUUAUGGAAAACUGCAGUCAUUUUGAUUGAUGAAAUCCAAAGAUGUCCAAAACAAUCCGGGGGAUCCCCAACUGUGGCGCACCGGCGGGGCGCUCCAGUGUUGUCAUUGUUCCGCAGAAAGAAAAGAGCGCGUCCGGAGAACACCAGGGGGAAAGAAAAUCACGAUUUUCAGUUCAAAAGGCUCCGAAAAGCAGCGUUUCUUUACAGGCAGUGGGAAAGUGCAGGAAACCCCCCCCCCCCCCC
ensembl:lncRNA